rnacentral:piRNA from 1 species
UCCCAAAAUGUCUUCAGUGGUACUUGC